GUGAGGAAUAUUGCGCAAUGGAGGCAACUCUGACGCAGCCAUGCCGCGUGCAGGAAGAAGGCGCUACGCGUUGUAAACUGCUUUUAACCGGGAAGAAACCCCAGGACGUGUCCUGGGUUGACGGUACCGGAGGAAUAAGCACCGGCUAACUUCGUGCCAGCAGCCGCGGUAAUACGAAGGGUGCAAGCGUUAUCCGGAUUCAUUGGGUUUAAAGGUUGCGUAGGCGGAGCGUUAAGUCAGUGGUGAAAUCCUGCAGCUUAACUGUAGACUUGCCAUUGAUACUGGCGCUCUUGAGUGCGCUUGAAGUGGGCGGAAUGUGCCGUGUAGCGGUGAAAUGCUUAGAUAUGGCACAGAACACCAAUUGCGAAGGCAGCUCACUAAGGCGAUACUGACGCUGAGGCACGAAAGCGUGGGGAUCGAACAGGAUUAGAUACCCCUGUAGUCC
rnacentral:rRNA from 1 species